AAAGAUUUUCAGUCUGAGAAUCUAAUGCGUACUUUCUUGAAAAGUGUGGAUUGCCUUGAUGAACUUGUGUUGUUGGAAAAGGAAAGGGGCAAUUUUUUAGAGGCAGCAAAUGUUGCAAACAUGAAAGGUGAUAUUUUGCUUGGAGUUGAUCUUCUACAGAUGGGAAGGAGAUUUAAAGAAGCAUCUGGGGUUAUCCUUUCCUAUGUGUUAUACAACUCUCUUUGGGUGCAUGGAAGCAAAGGCUGGCCCUUGAAGCAGUUUGAGAAAAAAGAGGAGCUUUUGAUAAAGGCUAAAACUUAUGCUGAGAAUGUUUCACAGCACUACCACAAUUUUGUUUGUAUUGAGGCAGACAUUUUAUCACAUGGAAAGAGCAGCUUAUUUACGAUGGAAAAAAAUUGGGGAGAUUCUGCAAGACAUGGAAGUUUCAGAGUUAAAAUUUUAGGUGCACGAAAAAUUCUCG
rnacentral:misc_RNA from 1 species